CGGAUUGUAGUCUGCAACCCGACUACAUGAAGCUGGAAUCGCUAGUAAUCGCAGGUCAGCAUACUGCGGUGAAUACGUUCCCGGGUCUUGUACACACCGCCCGUCACACCAUGGGAGCCGGAAAUGCCCGAAGCCAGUGACCCAACCUUAGGGAGGGAGCUGUCGAAGGCAGGCUUGAUAACUGGGGUGAAGUCGUAACAAGGUAGC
rnacentral:rRNA from 1 species